GAUGAACGCUGGCGGCGUGCCUAAUACAUGCAAGUCGAGCGAACAGACGAGGAGCUUGCUCCUCUGACGUUAGCGGCGGACGGGUGAGUAACACGUGGAUAACCUACCUAUAAGACUGGGAUAACUUCGGGAAACCGGAGCUAAUACCGGAUAAUAUAUUGAACCGCAUGGUUCAAUAGUGAAAGACGGUUUUGCUGUCACUUAUAGAUGGAUCCGCGCCGCAUUAGCUAGUUGGUAAGGUAACGGCUUACCAAGGCGACGAUGCGUAGCCGACCUGAGAGGGGGAUCGGCCACACUGGAACGGAGACACGGACCAGACUCCUACGGGAGGCAGCAGUAGGGAAUCUUCCGCAAUGGGCGAAAGCCUGACGGAGCAACGCCGCGUGAGUGGUGAAGGUCUUCGGAUCGGAAAACUCUGUUAUUAGGGAAGAACAAAUGUGUAAGUAACUAUGCACGUCUUGACGGUACCUAAACAGAAAGCCACGGCUAACUACGUG
rnacentral:rRNA from 1 species